rnacentral:ribozyme from 1 species
CAAGAAAGUGAGCAAACCAAGAAAGAAGAAACAAAGAACCAAUGAUAUGCUGUGAUUUGUAUGUUUGUUUUUGUUUAUUUGGUUUAUCUGGCUUAUUUUAUU